rnacentral:rRNA from 1 species
AUGCCGAUAAGGAGCGCCCCGUGUGCGUGGACGGUGGAAGAAUUCAAGAAGUGGGUCGACGUGAACGGCGACGGCCGGAUCAGCAAGGCCGAGCUCCGCCAGGCCAUCCGCCGCCGGGGCUGCUGGUUCGCCACCGUUAGGGCCGGCCGCGCCGUCCGCCGCGCCGACAGGGACCACAACGGCUACGUCGACGACGCCGAGCUGGAGCACCUCGUCGCUUUCGCGCGGGAACACCUCGGCAUGAACAUCUCUGCCCGUUAG